CAGAAGAUGAAGCCCUAUCACUUUCUUUGCUUCCUUGCAGUAGCUGCCAUCUUGGUCUCAUCAGGGAAAAUCACUAUAGGCGAGAAGCACGGCAUUCGGGAAAGAUGCAUGGAAGUAAUGCAGGUUAAUGGGUGCAAUCUUUCAUCCUGUAAGCAGCAAUGCUGGGAAGUCAAGAAUGGGAAUGGAGUUUGCUUAGCUAAAGUGAGAGAGGGUUAUCAGUGUGUGUGUUUUUUUGAUUGUUAAAACUUGGAAUUUACCAAUCUAUACCACGUUUGAGGGCUAAGUUAUCAAUGGAAGUUGGCUCUUUUUCUUUUUCCGUUUCAUCGAAUAGUUUAUACUUUA